GUUGAACGCUGGCGGCAUGCCUUACACAUGCAAGUCGAACGGCAGCACGGGAGCAAUCCUGGUGGCGAGUGGCGAACGGGUGAGUAAUAUAGCGGAACGUGCCCAGUAGUGGGGGAUAACUGCUCGAAAGAGCAGCUAAUACCGCAUACGACCUGAGGGUGAAAGGGGGGGCUCGCAAGACCUCUCGCUAUUGGAGCGGCCGAUAUCAGAUUAGCUAGUUGGUGGGGUAAAGGCCUACCAAGGCAACGAUCUGUAGUUGGUCUGAGAGGACGACCAGCCACACUGGGACUGAGACACGGCCCAGACUCCUACGGGGAGGCAGCAGUGGGGAAUUUUGGACAAUGGGCGCAAGCCUGACCCAGCAAUGCCGCGUGCAGGAAGAAGGCCUUCGGGUUGUAAACUGCUUUUGUCAGGGAAGAAAUCCUCUAGGUUAAUACCCUUGGGGGGAUGACGGUACCUGAAGAAUAAGCACCGGCUAACUACGUGCCAGCCGCCGCCGUAACAC
rnacentral:rRNA from 1 species